UGCCGUGAGGCGGACAGAUUCCACGGGGGUGGGACGGCUUUCGGCCUAGAUUUAAGUGCUACUGCGGACUGGGCAAGGCUGGCCGGGGUAGAACAGCUACACCUAAGUACAGCGGGGCUCCAACACUGCGGGGCGCCUGGGCACGGACAACCGGCCUGGGAGCUUCAACACCUCCAGCAUCACCCAUGAUGAGGGUCCUCUCCUGCUCCAUCAUCCUUAGCCUGUGACUCCAAGAUGGCUACCAGUGCCCCAGCUCCCAAGCCCUUGGCAUUCCUGAAAGGGAAGAAACACAAAAAAGGAAAGAGUAUAUUGGCCAGAACUACAGCCAGAGUACAUCGGCUGCAUGACUCACCUGGGAUAGAUGCUAAUGACCUCAAAGUUGGACUUUUGUUAGGAAGGAAAAAGAAGAAGAGAGCAAAAGAAAUCAUAGAAUCCCCUGGAACCAGAGUUACAGGCAUGCACCACCACACCCAGUUUAUAUGGUGAUGGAAAUGAACCUUGGGGUUUAUUCAGGGAAUGGCACUAUUAGGAUGUGUGGCCUUGUUGGUUGAAGUGUGUCACUGUGGACAUGGGCUUAAGGCCCUCAUCCUAGCUCCCUGGAAGUCAGUCACUAGCAGCCUGCAGAUGAAGAUGCAGAACUCUCAGCUCCUCCUGCACCAUGCCUGCCUGGAUGCUGCCAUGCUCCCACCUUGAUGAUAAUGGACUGCACCUCUGACCCUAACCAAGAACCAGGAGCACCAAGAAGCCUGUGGCAUUACCAUUUCCUUCUGGACAGGAAGUUCCAUCUGUAUCCCUAGAGCCCAGCAGCACAGCCUCUUGCCUAGUGUAUUUCAUGGUGCUGGGGCCUCUAUCUCAGGGGAGAUCUCAAGGCAGCAGCUGCCAUGCUCCUGACUCCCUUGUCCCUCCCACUUGCUUCCACAGGGCCAAGCCCUGGAGUCUCUGACCAGCACCCACAAGCCGCUACUCUUGGGGUGUUGCAACUGUGAGUGAGUUCACAGGUUGCAGAGGCACCAAGAGCAGCACCAGGCACAGCUGUGAGCUUUGGAACAGCUGGCAUAGCAGCUGCUGGGAGAGCCUGCUGGACUGUGCACACAAGCAUCCAUUGUGCUGCCUGAGAGCCUCCAGGACACUGGCUCCACCUGCAGGGUCUCUGCUUUAAACCAGGGUCCAGUGUUUAAACACCCUUCUGUACCUGUGGGGGUUAUAGGAGUGACCUUGCAGCAGAGGGCUUGCCUAUAAGGGCCAGCCCCUGGAUUCCAUCCAGCACCCUCCAAACAAAACAGCCCUUGAGAGUUGGUGUAGGCCUGUAAUCCUAGCAAGUGGAAGGCAGAGGCAGGAGGAUGACAACAAGUUCAAAGCCAGCUUAGGCUAUGUGCAACCGUGUCACCAGCAGGCAGGCACUAAAAGCUGCUAACACCAGGCAAACACCAAUCAGAGCUGAGUAAUGGCUGCUCAGCAGAGGCAGAGUUAGGAAACUUAUGGAGCACAUUCUCCGUGCUAGACCUUAACUUACCGAAAACUACAGCGACCAGGAUGUGCUCUUGUGCCAGUUUCCAGAUCUAAAAGCAAAGAGUCUUAACUUGUCCAAAAGCAAGUAGGCAUAAAAACUGCAAAGCCAGGAGCCAAACUGGGACUCUGGGCAGUGGACGAAACUGUCCCCAUUGGAAAGCGCCCUACCUGACUGCCAUAGAGCUUGUGUUUUUAGCCCCUCCAGCCUGUCUAAAACUCCUGGGUAGCUUCAAUAUUGUACUGCCCAGUUUGGUCUUUGGGGGGGGUGUGUGUGUGUAAAAUAAAUCUCCCCUCUCCUUACAACACAGUGAUAAGUGCUUGUCUGGCUCAAGGUCAGAUAAGAUAACGGGUCCUAGGCUCAAGCUUUAGUCCUGCCGGGAGAAGAGAAGACCUCAUGGUGGAAUGUGAAGUCCCCAGACUCACAGAAAGGGGAUCGGAAAGGAGCUCCCAUGUACCUCUAGUAGAGGAGUCUCCGGCAGGCGGCGGGGGUCGGGGGUGUUGGACAUACCCCACAGGCAAGACUGUGGUCAUAAUAGUGCUUUCGAAUGGUUUGUUUGUGGUGACUUGGGAGGAGACAAAGAGCACUGGAUUCAUUUUCCCAGGCGACAGCGGUCAGAUGGAGCUGCGGAGUGGCUAUCCCUAGUGCUUUGAGACCAUGGCCUGGGCCCCAGGAGUACAGUGGGGCUGAGACAGAGCUCAGACUGAAGCCUGGGGCUCUCUAUGGAGCUUGCUAGUGUCCCUGGACUGACAUUGUUUCUCUCUCCUUCCCUGUCCCCAUUCAGUGUCUGCCUCCUCCUAAUCCAUCUCAUCUCGGCAUCUCCACAGCCACCAACUUUCUGCCCCCACCUUGCUGUGCCCCACCCUUCUUCCUAGCUCCCCCCCCCCCAGUCACUCCUCACCUGUAUCUUUACAUGGCUUUGUCUGUACAUGUUGGUCCUCCCUGCAUUUAUCUCCCUGCCCCAUGACUGUCUCUGGCCUCACCUCUGCUCCCUUGUCUCCGCACAUCUCUCCUUCCCUGACCUUGCUGUUCCUCACAGUAGGCCUUCCAUCACCUGUGGAAGGCCUGCCACCUGCCACUUUGGAAGCUAAACCCAAGUCCCUGGACACUCAGAUAUCCAGUGUGCAAGUGACUGAGUGACAAUAUUGACAGAGAUAGAAGAUGGAAGAGUGAUUACACUUGGCAUUGGCCUGGCCUGGCCUUGCGGCCCACACCUGGGGAGGAGCGAUGUCUCCAGCAUCUGUCACACUUGAACCUUUUGUAGCCUUGGACUAAUUUGCCCCUCAUCCCUCAUCCUCUGGGACGCUCAUCCUCUGGGGUGGCCAGCCCCUGCCAUGCCCAAGCCAAACCCUUUGUAUUCUGUAAAGAAAGCUCUGAACAGAACAAGAGUCAUCUGCUCGAGGGGUGCUGUGCCUGGUUCUGAAGAGCUCUGGUGUGCCAUGCCAUGCCUGCUGUGGGGUGACACAGCCCCAAACCAUCCCUGCCUUUGAGUUCAUGUCCGCUUGAGUAGAAGGUGAACUAGUAAACUAAUAAACCAGAUCACUCCAAACC